GUGCGGGAAACAUUAGCUUUGCCAUUCGUUCCAUAUCAAGAAAUUCAAGGUUGUUUCAAAAAACUGAAGGAUCGAUCAGUCCAAUUAGUUGAUGAUUUGAUUGCAUUAAACGAAGAAAGAACCGACGAUAAUCUUCCACCAUUACCUAUUACGGAUCUGAGAACGUUCUUUGACUAUGUCGAGAAACAGUGGAUUACGAGUCGUGUUUGGUAUCCAGAUACUUGGAGCGUCUUUUUUCAAGAAGUGCGGACGAAUAACGAUGCCGAAGGGUGGCAUUACCGGAUAAACAUGCAUGCUCCUAAGAAGGGCGAUUUGAACCUUUAUCAUCUAAUUGAACUUCUCUAUAAAGAAACUCAGAUGAAUUUGAUUAAUAAAAGAUUGUUGUUACAGGGUAAAGACGUCAGGAGUCAGAACAAAGUGUAUAUGAGGACCAACGAGAGGAUUAAAGAUAUUUGGGAGAAAUAUCAACACACCAAGGAAUAUACCGUAGAUGACCUUCUGAAGUACUGCUCCAAGACUUAUCGCAUGCCCUGUGAAUAUGACCAAUCUGAUUAAGAAGGCUUUCUUCGUCAUCUGCAGCACUGGAAGCAUCUCGUCUUUACUUGUUAGAUGAGUUCAACUGCUUUUCUUGAAAACGAAUUGAGAAUCUAUACAAUCGUCAGUCAAGUCGUAUAAAUGUUCCAAUAGUGUAUUUUGAUUUUUAAAUUCAGUUGCUUCUUGCCAAAAUACAGAUAUAACUACAAUAAAGCAAGUUUUUUUUUCAGAA